rnacentral:tRNA from 1 species
ACCUGGGUGGCUCAGUCGGUUGAGCAUCCGACUUUGGCUCGGGUCAUGAUUUCACAGUUCGUGGGUUCGAGCCCCGCGUCAGGCU